rnacentral:rRNA from 1 species
GACGAACGCUGGCGGCGUGCUUAACACGUGCAAGUCGAACGGAAAGGCCCUGCUUUUGUGGGGUGCUCGAGUGGCGAACGGGUGAGUAACACGUGAGUAACCUGCCCUUGACUUUGGGAUAACUUCAGGAAACUGGGGCUAAUACCGGAUAGGAGCUCCUGCUGCAUGGUGGGGGUUGGAAAGUUUCGGCGGUUGGGGAUGGACUCGCGGCUUAUCAGCUUGUUGGUGGGGUAGUGGCUUACCAAGGCUUUGACGGGUAGCCGGCCUGAGAGGGUGACCGGCCACAUUGGGACUGAGAUACGGCCCAGACUCCUACGGGAGGCAGCAGUGGGGAAUAUUGCACAAUGGGCAGAAGCCUGAUGCAGCAACGCCGCGUGCGGGAUGACGGCCUUCGGGUUGUAAACCGCUUUCGCCUGUGACGAAGCGUGAGUGACGGUAAUGGGUAAAGAAGCACCGGCUAACUACGUG